rnacentral:lncRNA from 1 species
UAGCAAGAGGAAUACAUAUUCACUUUCUAAUAAUACACUUUCUACGUCCAACUUUUGCUCUAGUUUUCUCUUCCAUUGUUGAAGCAUAUGAGGUAUAUAUAUAUAUUAAAUUGUAAUGAUAAGAUUACGAAAACAAGAAUCCCUUAAUUACCAAACAAGGUUAACGUGCUAAUAGAAAUACUAAAUAAAAUAACAAAGCUCAAGUUUCCUACAGUGUCAAUCUAAUAAAAUUAUAUAUAGUAUAAUAAAGUUCAAACCUCUAUUCCAGCUCAUAAAACCAGAAGAAAUAUAAAGCAAAUUAUAUAAAUAUUGACUUUUCAAGAUGUUAAAAGAUGUCAGCUCUUUAAUUCACAAGUGAAUUAAGUUCUUUAUUACAUUUCCAUUCAAAAAUUAUUGAUGGAGAGAAUUAUCACUAUUUGCUAAAAUCAUGAUUGAUUUGGCAAUUAGCUCUUUAACGGUUAGGUAAGUUAUAUAAUUAUUUAUGAAAGUCUAAAUGUUGAAUGUUGUUCAUGCAAAAAAUAUAUUGAUAUACACAUUAUAUAUAAAUUAUAUAUACAAAGGUGAGGCAGCACUUAUUGAGGAUAAGAUGCAGCAGUCAUAAGAUGAUUUUCCCUUUCUGAAGUAGACCAAUAAAUAGUGAACAAAUGAAUAGAUUCUAAUCAGAGAGAAGUAAUGGGUAUACAAAAAAUUGAAAAUUUUACAUUCUAAAAAAUAAAAAUGCAAGAAUUAAAGUGGUAAAGGAUUGUAUUACAAUAGUUAAUAGAAAAUUUGACCCUAAACAAAAUUAAGUGGAGAAAGAUCAUCAAUGUAAUUGAUUGCAAACUAAUUUACUUAGCUAAUAAAAAAUUCUAUCACUAACAGAGACAUUAGUGAUCAUAAUUGGACAUAUGGAAGAAACCAAUAAAUAUAGGAAAGAUCAUAAAGCAAGGCUAGCAAAAUAAAAAGAUACAAACAAAUUAGAAUUCAAAGAACCGACAAUAUAAGCAGUUCUAGAUACCAAUUUAAGCAAUAUGUGAAACAUUUGAAUCCAUAGAUAUGGGCUUCAACAAUUUCUGAAUUAAACCGUACUUAAAAGAAUUAACCUUCGUCACAAUCAAACACCAUAUACUUCAUUUUUUUUUUUUUUUCAGUAUUUUUCUUUCAUGAAAUGAAACAUAAUAAGUGCAUCAAGGUGUAACUCGACUCAAGAACAUGGAUAAUAUCGUGAGAGCAAACACAAAUGAAAAUACCUGAGAAUGGCAAACAUUGUACUGAUUUGCAUAAAAUUGUCUGUUUCAAAAUAUAUAGAUAAGAAGAACUCUACUAACAUUAACGAAAAUACAACUGUGAAAAAUUCAUUGGCUAGAGAGGUUCAAUCUAAUAAUUAUAGGACACUGAGUUAGAUUAACACUGCCUUUUAGGAUUCAAUUUUGAUAUUGUUUUUAUAUAUAUUUGGAUGAGAACAAUCUCAACAAUACAUCAAGGAUCACUGGUUUUUUAAUUUGUAUAAAUAAAAUUAAUAUAUAUAAUUUUUGUCAUGAUAAUAAGAUAAAAACUCUCCUAGGACAUUCCUAUAAUCAUACAAUAUAAAUAAAUUAAAAUCUCCAUUAUACUUUGUUGUGCUAAUAAACAGUAUUCAAAAAUCAAUUUUGUUGCCGUAUUUUAAUUUUGGUCAGGUCCUUGUCUAAAAAAUCAAUUAGUUAUUAUACAAACAACUUGAUUAAAUAUUUAGUCCUAAUGAUUUGAUUGAAAUAAAACUACAAUGAUUAUGUGGGUUAGCAGUAAAAGUAAUUAAUCUUUAAAAGGGACUGACCGUGAGAGUUAGAGAGUGAGUUUGAAUUUCAUUCGCAAAUCAACUAUCUUGUUCGAGUGCUCAGUGUUCGUGUUUGGCUUGUGUGAAAAUGGCUUGGGAAUAGCGAGAAUUUGAAGGAAAAUUACUUGAAAUAAUUACUUGUGUGAAUUUUACCUGUUGUUCAACCAAAAAGGGAAAAGAAGCCCAAAACUCCUCUCCCGAUUGCAGCACCGGGAUCUCCUUUCCUUCCCCUCCCCGAUCGGUGUUUCGGCCACCAGUUGUCGAGGCCAAAGCGGCGGUCGACACUCUGAGCGACGGCGACAUUGACUCCGGCCAUCCCUUUAACAAUCAAAACUUGCUCCACGCGAAAUAAGGCUCUCUUCUACGAUGCUGUUACCUUCUUCGACAAUUCUCUCUUUCUCGACUUCUCGGCGAGCUCAAGUAUUUCCGCAAUUCCCUUUACUCGGGAAGUGGGGAGGGCAUACAUUUUGAAUACUUGUGAAUUUAACGUGCCUUCAAAGGACAAUUUGUUAUGAAUGGGCUCCCACUAGUUAAUUGCACAAUGUCUUGAUGCGAAAGCGC